rnacentral:misc_RNA from 1 species
AAGUCGUAACAAGGUUUCCGUAGGUGAACCUGCGGAAGGAUCAUUACCUAGAGUUGCGGGCUUUGCCUGCCAUCUCUUACCCAUGUCUUUUGAGUACCUUACGUUUCCUCGGCGGGUCCGCCCGCCGACUGGACAAUUUAAACCACUUGCGGUUGCAAUCAGCGUCUGAAAAAACUUAAUAGUUACAA